GAGACCCACGCCAACAGUUGCCAGCACGUUCUCCGGAAUGGUGGGGACACUGUUGGGACCGCCUCUGCUAAAGGGGAGGAAGGAAUGGGCAACGGUAGGUCAGCAUGCCCCGAAUUACCCGGGCUACACGCGGGCUACAAUGGACAGGACAAUGGGAAUCGACACCGAGAGGUGAAGGCAAUCCCCUAGACCUGCCCUUAGUUCGGAUUGUGGGCUGCAACUCGCCCACAUGAAGCUGGAAUCCGUAGUAAUCGCGGAUCAACAUUCCGCGGUGAAUAU
rnacentral:rRNA from 1 species